UACGUAGGUGGCGAGCGUUAUCCGGAUUUACUGGGCGUAAAGCGUGCGCAGGCGGCCUUACAAGUGUGGUAUGAAAUAUCCAGGCUCAACCUGGAGGGGUUAUGCCAGACUGUGAGGCUAGAGUGCGAGAGAGGGGCGUGGAAUUCCGGGUGUAGUGGUGAAAUUCGUAGAUAUUCGGAAGAACACCAGUGGCGAAGGCGGCUCGCUGGCCCGGUACUGACGCUGAGGUGCGAAAGCGUGGGGAGCAAACAGG
rnacentral:rRNA from 1 species